ACUCGUCAUGUCAAGUAUAGCAUCUAUACUGUGAAACUGCGAAUGGCUCAUUAAAUCAGUUAUCGUUUAUUUGAUAGUACCUUACUACUUGGAUAACCGUGGUAAUUCUAGAGCUAAUACAUGCUAAAAACCCCGACUUCGGAAGGGGUGUAUUUAUUAGAUAAAAAACCAAUGCCCUUCGGGGCUCCUUGGUGAAUCAUGAUAACUUAACGAAUCGCAUGGCCUUGCGCCGGCGAUGGUUCAUUCAAAUUUCUGCCCUAUCAACUUUCGAUUGUAGGAUAGUGGCCUACAAUGGUUUCAACGGGUAACGGGGAAUUAGGGUUCUAUUCCGGAGAGGGAGCCUGAGAAACGGCUACCACAUCCAAGGAAGGCAGCAGGCGCGCAAAUUACCCAAUCCCGAUACGGGGAGGUAGUGACAAUAAAUACUGAUACAGGGCUCUUUUGGGUCUUGUAAUUGGAAUGAGUACAAUUUAAAUACCUUAACGAGGAACAAUUGGAGGGCAAGUCUGGUGCCAGCAGCCGCGGUAAUUCCAGCUCCAAUAGCGUAUAUUAAAGUUGUUGCAGUUAAAAAGCUCGUAGUUGAACCUUGGGCCUGGCUGGCCGGUCUGCCUCACCGCAUGUACUGGUUCGGCCGGGUCUUUCCUCCUGGGGAUCCGCAUGCCCUUCACUGGGUGUGUUGGGGAACCAGGACUUUUACUUUGAAAAAAUUAGAGUGUUCAAAGCAGGCCUUUGCUCGAAUACAUUAGCAUGGAAUAAUAGAAUAGGACGUGCGGUCCUAUUUUGUUGGUUUCUAGGACCGCCGUAAUGAUUAAUAGGGAUAGUCGGGGGCAUCAGUAUUCAGUUGUCAGAGGUGAAAUUCUUGGAUUUACUGAAGACUAACUACUGCGAAAGCAUUUGCCAAGGAUGUUUUCAUUAAUCAGUGAACGAAAGUUAGGGGAUCGAAGACGAUCAGAUACCGUCGUAGUCUUAACCGUAAACUAUGCCGACUAGGGAUCGGGCGAUGUUAUUCUUUUGACUCGCUCGGCACCUUACGAGAAAUCAAAGUCUUUAGUUCUGGGAGGUAAGCGACACGG
rnacentral:rRNA from 1 species